AUUGAACGCUGGCGGAAUGCUUUACACAUGCAAGUCGAACGGCAGCACGGACUUCGGUCUGGUGGCGAGUGGCGCACGGGUGAGUAAUGUAUCGGAACGUGCCCAGUCGUGGGGGAUAACGUAGUGAAAAUUACGCUAAUACCGCAUACGAUCUAUGGAUGAAAGCGGGGGAUCGCAAGACCUCGGCGGAUUGCAGCGGCCGAUAUCAGAUUAAGUAGUUGGUGGGGUAAAGGCCCACAAAGCCAACGAUCUGUAGCUGGUCUGAGAGGACGACCAGCCACACUGGAACUGAGACACGGUCCAGACUCCUACGGGAGGCAGCAGUGGGGAAUUUUGGACAAUGGGCGAAAGCCUGAUCCAGCCAUUCCGCGUGCAGGAUGAAGGCUCUCGGGUUGUAAACUGCUUUGUACAGAACGAAAAGGUUUCUACUAAUACUAGGAGCUCAUGACGGUACUGUAAGAAUAAGCACCGGCUAACUACGUGCCAGCCGCCGCGGUAA
rnacentral:rRNA from 1 species